rnacentral:misc_RNA from 1 species
AAGUCGUAACAAGGUUUCCGUAGGUGAACCUGCGGAAGGAUCAUUACCGAGUUAGGGUCUUCCAGGCCCGACCUCCAACCCUGUGUCUAAAUUACCAUGUUGCUUUGGCGGGUCCGCCUUUUAGGGGCCGCUGGGGGCUUUACCGCCUCUGGCCAGUGCCCGUCAGUAGCCUUCUCAAACCCUUUUAUAACCGUGUCGUCUGAGUAUAAAUUUAAAAUCGUUAAAACUUUCAACAACGGAUCUCUUGGUUCUG